UACGUAGGGUGCAAGCGUUGUCCGGAAUUAUUGGGCGUAAAGAGCUCGUAGGCGGUCUGUUGCGUCGGCUGUGAAAACCCGGGGCUCAACUUCGGGCCUGCAGCCGAUACGGGCAGACUAGAGUUCGGCAGGGGAGACUGGAAUUCCUGGUGUAGCGGUGAAAUGCGCAGAUAUCAGGAGGAACACCGGUGGCGAAGGCGGUUCUCUGGGCAUGUCCUGACGCUGAGGAGCGAAAGUGUGGGGAGCGAACAGG
rnacentral:rRNA from 1 species